rnacentral:rRNA from 1 species
UUCAGCCUACGGGAGGCAGCAGUCGGGAAUAUUGCGCAAUGGAGGAAACUCUGACGCAGUGACGCCGCGUGCAGGAAGAAGGUUUUCGGAUUGUAAACUGCUUUAGAUAGGGAAGAAAAAAAAUGACAGUACCUAUAGAAUAAGCUCCGGCUAACUACGUGCCAGCAGCCGCGGUAAUACGUAGGGGGCAAGCGUUAUCCGGAUUUACUGGGUGUAAAGGGGGCGCAGACGGCAAUGCAAGCCAGGAGUGAAAGCCCGGGGCCCAACCCCGGGACUGCUCUUGGAACUGCAUGGCUGGAGUACAG